AGAGUUUGAUCCCAGGCUCAGAGCGAACGCUGGCGGCAGGCUUAACACAUGCAAGUCGAACGGGCACUUCGGUGCUAGUGGCAGACGGGUGAGUAACACGUGGGAACGUACCUUUCGGUUCGGAAUAAUACAGGGAAACUUGUACUAAUACCGGAUACGCCCUUUGGGGGAAAGAUUUAUCGCCGAUUGAUCGGCCCGCGUCUGAUUAGCUAGUUGGUGAGGUAAUGGCUCACCAAGGCGACGAUCAGUAGCUGGUCUGAGAGGAUGAUCAGCCACACUGGGACUGAGACACGGCCCAGACUCCUACGGGAGGCAGCAGUGGGGAAUAUUGGACAAUGGGCGCAAGCCUGAUCCAGCCAUGCCGCGUGUGUGAUGAAGGCCUUAGGGUUGAAACACUUUGCCGGA
rnacentral:rRNA from 1 species